GCCACACGUAUGUAUCUAAACUUUUAAUAAUUUUCAUAACUAUUCCCACCUCUUACCAGUUCCUGGUUCCAAUUCGAGAAGAUCAGAUCGACUAUGUGAAUCCCUUUUAUCUAUGUGAUUAGCGUUAGUUUCUCAAACAUGUAUGUGUCAUUUUCUAUUCCCUCCGUACCAGAGAUGAGUUCGGCUUCCAAAUUGUUCGAUUAUAAGAGUUUUAGAUCUGCAGAAUUGAGUUCGAGUGAAGCAAAUCUGAGGUGAAUUUCCGGUGAUCCUGCCUCGUAUUGCGACCAGAAAAGGCACCACACUGAGGACAGUGAUGUUAACUCUUUUAGGGACUCAAGUAGUGAUGUAAGCAGUGAUUACAACCUCCCAAAGAGUGAAUUUUUUCAGUGGUUGGAUCAGUUGUCGUUAAAUUACCAACACGUCCUUCAAGAAGGCUUCUCUAGUGAUGAGGGUGAAUCAGUAAGACUACAAAGUUGUCUUUCAUUUGAGUAUUUGGAGUGUAAUCAACCUUGGGGUCGGGAACCUUUGAUUGAUUAGAUACUUGAUCUUGUGCGUCGCUUCAUAGACUUGAAAAGCGUGAAAAGUUGUGACUUGUUUUCUUCUAGUUGGUUAUCUGUGGCUUGGUACCCAAUUUAUAGGAGUCCAAUGGGACCAACAUUGAAAGAUCUUAAUGCUGUUUUUUACCUUUCAUUCUCUUCAUACACCAAUCACAGGCUAUGGAUAUUUUCACAACCUCUUCGGCUAAGAGCAUUCGGUUGAAGGUGGCUGGGUUUGGCGGGGCGAAACGGACCUGCAGAAGUAUCAUUGGAACAACUGGGUCACUCGUAAAGUGAACUACCUAACAUGGAGGGCUGUGUUGGGGACGGGGUGUAUCGCUACUAAAGAAGCUUUGACGUGAAGAGGUUUGGCUUUAGAUAACACUCUUUGCGGCAGGUGUGAGCUGGUAAUUGAAGAUGUGAAUCACAUUUUUGUCGAUUGUUUAUCGGCUAGAAGUGUGUGGUGGCAAAUCUGUAGAUGGACUAAGGAUCAACCACAUUAUUUGUCACCUAUAUUAUAUAUUUAUAUCGAGUGGAAUUGCUUAAUGUUUUACUUGCUUCGUAAAAGUUGCAGUAUAAGCUUUUUCACUAGUAUAAGAAUGUUUUCACUAAUAAAAGAUAAAUUAUCAGCAUUCAUUUGUUAAGAUAUAUUUAUACAUAUGAUAGUUUAAGUGAGAAAUAAAUAUAUCAAUGUUAAAGUUUGUUUAUUUUAGUUGUAUAUAAUUUUGUUUCAAAAUAUACGUAAUUCUAGACAUCUUUAAAGUUUAAUCAUGAAUGUUAUAAUGU
rnacentral:lncRNA from 1 species